rnacentral:rRNA from 1 species
AUUGAACGCUGGCGGCAGGCUUAACACAUGCAAGUCGAGCGGAGUGAUGGUGCUUGCACUAUUACUUAGCGGCGGACGGGUGAGUAAUGCUUAGGAAUCUGCCAUUUAGUGGGGGACAACAUUCCGAAAGGAAUGCUAAUACCGCAUACGUCCUACGGGAGAAAGCAGGGGAUCUUCGGACCUUGCGCUAAAUGAUGAGCCUAAGUCGGAUUAGCUAGUUGGUGGGGUAAAGGCCUACCAAGGCGACGAUCUGUAGCGGGUCUGAGAGGAUGAUCCGCCACACUGGGACUGAGACACGGCCCAGACUCCUACGGGAGGCAGCAGUGGGGAAUAUUGGACAAUGGGCGGAAGCCUGAUCCAGCCAUGCCGCGUGUGUGAAGAAGGCCUUUUGGUUGUAAAGCACUUUAAGCGAGGAGGAGGCUCUCCUAGUUAAUACCUAGGAAGAGUGGACGUUACUCGCAGAAUAAGCACCGGCUAACUCUGUGCCAGCAGCCGCCUAACAC